AUUCUAAUAGAAGUAACAAGAAGUAUCUUGUUACUUCGGCAGCAAGCGAAGGCGUCUUUGGCGCCCGUGGCGUAGUCCCCCCGGCUACGUCACGAUCUUUUUUU
rnacentral:ncRNA from 15 species